CAGUCGCCGCGGGAAUACGAAGGGGGCUAGCGUUGCUCGGAAUUACUGGGCGUAAAGGGAGCGUAGGCGGACAUUUAAGUCAGGGGUGAAAUCCCAGAGCUCAACUCUGGAGCUGCCUUUGAUACUGGGUGUCUUGAGUGUGAUAGAGGUAUGUGGAACUCCGAGUGUAGAGGUGAAAUUCGUAGAUAUUCGGAAGAACACCAGUGGCGAAGGCGACAUACUGGAUCAUUACUGACGCUGAGGCUCGAAAGCGUGGGGAGCAAACAGGAUUAGAUACCCCUGUAGUCCCUGUCUCUUAUAC
rnacentral:rRNA from 1 species